AGCGGCGGCGGCAGCAGCGGC
rnacentral:misc_RNA from 1 species